UCGAGAAACCCUCAGACAAAGUGUUGUUCUUUUUCUCUCAUGCCGCCGCUUCUCUCCCUAAAGAUUCCAAACGAUGAACCUCUGCCUCAACCUUUCCUUUUCCGAUCUACCGUUACUCUGAUGAAUUCAAAUCUUCAUCUGAAUAGCCAUUUCCGUAAGCGUCUUCUCCUUCGAUUCCUUUUCAACUCACAACGAGCUUGAGAAACUCUCCGUCUUCCUUGUAAAUCUUCAAGACUAACCACUUCCUCUUCUGUGAUUCAUGUUCCCUCAUGACGAUUUACGACGUCACCAGUUAAAGAACCCUUUGCAUGUAACUCACAGGUAACGUCUCCUUCCAAGAUUUGACUCUAUCACGUCAGUAACAGUUCUGACUCAAAUCUUCUUUCUUAUUUCAUAACUUCUACCUUGACGACUUACUACUUCGGAGUACCAGCUGAAUAAGAAACUGUCCUCCUCUGCAAACUGAUUCGCCCUUUCAGAUGCUCCACCUGAAGCCUCACUUUCGUGAUAGCUUCAACUCUCUCAGGUAACUCCAUCUUUAGUUUUCUUUCUGAGUAUACUUGCAUCUUUAUGAAGUCUUGAUAGUAUCAGCUUAGUCUUCUGACACUGACUUCAUCCCCUCUUUUACUUUUGCGAGAUGCAAUCUGGAGUUACCCGGAGCCACAGUCGCACUCAGGCGACAUUCAGACCUUCACGGCAGAGCUGGAACUUAGAACCAUGUAUCGUUUUGGUCAAGAAAUCCGCUAGGUUGAUAGACGUAUGAAUCUUAGAUAGAGUAACCCAUCCUUUAGCUACUAUAUCUCUGAUGAAAUGAAACUCUGUGUCCAUAUGCUUUGUUCUUUCAUGAUGAACUGUGUUUUUGGAUAAUGCAAUUGCACUUUGAGAGUCGCAGUGUAUCCUUACACUGCUUUGCUCAAAUCUCAUUUAUGUGCAAAUCCCUCUUAACCAAAUAUCUUCUUUCACAGCCAGAGUCAGAGCCAUGUACCUGACUUCUGUGGUUGAAAGAGCUACAACUGACUGUAGUCCGGAUUUCCAUGACAUAGUAUUUCCACCAAGCUUGAAAACAAUCCUGAAACUGAUCUUCGUUUUUCCAAAUCUGUAGAAUAAUCAGAAUCUAAAGACCCUUCAACACUGAAAUCUGAGCUUCACCUGAAGGUCAAACACAGAUCAUAGGUUCCUUUCACAUAUCUAAGAAUUCAUUUAGCUGCUUCCCAAUGCUCUAUGCUCGGGUGUGACAUAAAUCUGCAGACUAAACCAACUGCGAAUCCCAAAUCUGGACGCGAACCAACCAUUGCAUAAAUCAAACUUCCCACGACACUCGCAUACGGGAUAUUCUUCAUGUAUUCAAACUCUUCAGCUCUUUCUUUCGGAUGUAGACUCUUCAAUUUGAAGUGUGAGGCCGUAGGUGUGACAACAGACUUAGCCUCAUACAUUCCAAAAGUUCUUAGUACUUUCCCCAGAUACCUCUGUUGAGAUAGUACUAAAAUUCCCUUCUCUCUAUCACGAAUGAUGUCCAUCCCCAAGAUUCUGGAAGCCUUUCCCAAAUCUUUCAUUUCAAACUCUCUGCUCAGACUGUCCUUUAGAGCUUGAAUUACCUUAGGGUUUCCCGAAGCAAUCAACAUAUCAUCUACAUACAAC
rnacentral:lncRNA from 1 species